rnacentral:rRNA from 1 species
AUACGGGGGGUGCAAGCGUUAAUCGGAAUUACUGGGCGUAAAGCGCGCGUAGGCGGUUUGCUCAGUCGGAUGUGAAAGCCCAGGGCUCAACCUUGGAACUGCAUACGAUACUGGCAAACUAGAGUGUGCGAGAGGAUAGUGGAAUUUCCGGUGUAGCGGUGAAAUGCGUAGAUAUCGGAAGGAACAUCAGUGGCGAAGGCGACUGUCUGGCUCAACACUGACGCUGAGGUGCGAAAGCGUGGGUAGCGAACGGAAUUAGAAACCCUAGUAGUCC